rnacentral:rRNA from 1 species
UACGUAGGGUGCAAGCGUUAAUCGGAAUUACUGGGCGUAAAGCGUGCGCAGGCGGUUAUGUAAGACAGUUGUGAAAAUCCCCGGGCUUAACCUGGGAAUGGCAUUUGGGACUGCAAGGCUUUGAGUGCGGCAGAGGAGACUGGAAUUCCUGGUGUAGCAGUGAAAUGCGUAGAUAUCAGGAGGAACACCGAUGGCGAAGGCAGGUCUCUGGGGCUGACACUGACUCA